AGUGGCGGACGGGUGAGUAACGCGUGAGAAUCUGCCUUGGGGUCGGGGACAACCACUGGAAACGGUGGCUAAUACCGGAUAAGCCGAUUGGUGAAAGAUUUAUUGCCCGAAGAGGAGCUCGCGUCUGAUUAGCUGGUUGGUGAGGUAAGAGCUCACCAAGGCAGCGAUCAGUAGCUGGUCUGAGAGGACGAUCAGCCACACUGGGACUGAGACACGGCCCAGACUCCUACGGGAGGCAGCAGUGGGGAAUUUUCCGCAAUGGGCGAAAGCCUGACGGAGCAAGACCGCGUGAGGGAGGAAGGCUCUUGGGUUGUAAACCUCUUUUCUCAGGGAAGAAGCUCUGACGGUACCUGAGGAAUCAGCCUCGGCUAACUCCGUGCCAGCAGCCGCGGUAAUACGGAGGAGGCAAGCGCUAUCCGGAAUUAUUGGGCGUAAAGCGUCCGCAGGUGGCGAUUCAAGUCUGCUGUCAAAGCACGGGGCUUAACUCCGUAAAGGCAGUGGAAACUGAAUAGCUAGAGUGCCGUACGGGUAGAGGGAAUUCCCGGUGUAGCGGUGAAAUGCGUAGAGAUCGGGAAGAACAUCGGUGGCGAAAGCGCUCUACUGGACGGCAACUGACACUCAGGGACGAAAGCUAGGGGAGCGAAUGGGAUUAGAUACCCC
rnacentral:rRNA from 1 species